rnacentral:rRNA from 1 species
GACGAACGCUGGCGGCGUGCUUAACACAUGCAAGUCGAACGGUGAACUCCGCUUGCGGGGGGAUCAGUGGCGCACGGGUGAGUAACACGUGGGCAACCUGCCCUCAGCUCUGGGAUAACUCCAAGAAAUUGGGGCUAAUACCGGAUAUGACCGCUGACCGCAUGGUCUGGUGGUGGAAAGAUUUAUCGGCUGGGGAUGGGCCCGCGGCCUAUCAGCUUGUUGGUGGGGUAGUGGCCUACCAAGGCGACGACGGGUAGCCGGCCUGAGAGGGUGACCGGCCACACUGGGACUGAGACACGGCCCAGACUCCUACGGGAGGCAGCAGUGGGGAAUAUUGCGCAAUGGGCGAAAGCCUGACGCAGCGACGCCGCGUGGGGGAUGACGGCCUUCGGGUUGUAAACCUCUUUCAGCAGGGACGAAGCGAAAGUGACGGUACCUGCAGAAGAAGCACCGGCCAACUACGU